rnacentral:lncRNA from 1 species
UGUAGAUGUUGGAAUAGAACAAGAACAAUGAGAAAUGGUUUAUAUUUAUGUUGUUGUGUGGUUAUGAAGAUAAAGAGCAAAUUGAUUGAAAUAAUUUGGAUUUAGGAAUUUUCAAUUAUAAAGUGUCAGUGGAGUAAAGUUGGAGGAAUGGGAAAAGAAAAAACAAAAGCGCGUGGUGUAUGAUCACCUGUGGUGGAGUGUCGGUGUAUAAUUUUCAAUUAUUAGUAUAGUUGUUUGUAGCUGGCGUUGGUUGUCGGUGUUACAAACAUGUGACUCCAAGUGGACCUAUGAACCGUUGAUUUGGUUUUAGUCCUGUAAAAAGAGAGUGCAUCUAUGAAUGCCGCGUGACGCGCCGAUAAUCUUGCCUUCAUCACUUUCCUAGAGUUGAGAUUGGGAAGCCUUAUAAUCCAAGUCUCCUCUAAUUAAUUACUAAUCA